GGAGGAAAGGGAAAGAAUCUCAAGCAGACUUGAGCCCAGAGCGUGAAGCCCAAUGUGGGGCUCAUUCCCACAACCCUGAGAUCAUGACUUGAGCCAAAAUCAAGAGGUGGGUGCUCAACUGACUGAGCCAUCCAGGUGCCCCAAAGUACCUUAUUUUUAGUUAUUAAGACACCUUAUUGAAAGACACAUUUUUAAUAUUCAGCUUCUUGCUGUAUUCUGCAUAGUGGGAACAAUUAGAGAGCAUUGGGGAGAAAUGAUUAACUUUUAAUCAUAAAACGGACCAAAGCAUUUGAGUCUAUGAAGUAACAUUAAGACACUAAGAAAAGCACCAUUAGUGAUAUGGUUGUCUUUUUUUGUGUCAGUGUCUGAACUGAAUAGGACCAUGUUAGAGAUAAUACUUAACUUUGGCAAAGAAACUAACCCAGCAUUAUUGGAUUAAAAUCUAGCUCUUUUACAUGAAAGUUGUAACUCCUUGUAAAAGCUGAAAGAAGAAAUUGCUGCCUUGACAAUUUUACUAUAUAUAGCCCAAUUCUGGGGUUCCAAUGAUAAAUGAAAUUUCAGAAUACCUCAUCAAUUUCAGAACCACAGGAUCCUUCCAAGUCCUAGAGUGUUUUCCAGUCUGAAGUACUCCUUACACUGCUGCCAGUUACCGUGGUUUGCCAUUGCUCAGCCAGGUUCCCUCUCCCUCCUUUGUUUUCAGGGAAUUCUUGAAGCUGCUUAAAGCAUCUUUUAAUUCUUUAUCUGCUUCUGGAUGGAGAACUCAUUUAUCUCUGUGAUGAUCCCAAGGGAGAAUGGAAUUAUUCCUACUUUAUCCCAAACAGCCAGUCUUCUUGAUGCUGCAGAGGAAAAGAUUCAAACCCCCUAUCCAAGGACAUGCUUGAAGAGCCGGUUCACUGGUAUUGGGUCUCAGGUCCAGCUGCUGGGAUGCAAUAAACAGCAACAAUCCAAUUAUUGA
rnacentral:lncRNA from 1 species